rnacentral:sRNA from 1 species
GAAAGUAACUCAUCUGGAAGAGGGCUGAUUGAAUCUAUGGAACCAGAUGAUGACAAUACUCUUUUCGUCUCCAUACGGCAAGAAAUGAAGACGGUAACAAGUUAGGGUUCUCAAACUCUCAGGGACCACUUUUUAGGAAAGAAAUGGGUAGGAACAACAUGUUUCUCUUUUUUUUUUCACCAUUCAGCAGUAAUUUUUUUUCCAAUUUGUAACAUGUGGACCCCACAGUAUUCCUAAUCAUUCCUUAGUUUUGGAGGAAUCGUAGAAGAAAAUAGAGGAACAAACAGGAAAACAAAUUAAAAGUACGUGACGUGAUUAAACAUUUUUUAAUUAAAAAUU